rnacentral:rRNA from 1 species
UACGUAGGGUCCAAGCGUUGUCCGGAUUUAUUGGGCGUAAAGAGCUCGUAGGCGGUUCCGUAAGUCGGAUGUGAAAACUCAGGGCUCAACCCGGAGACGGCAUCCGAUACUGCGGUGACUGGAGUCUGGUAGGGGAUCACGGAAUUCCUGGUGUAGCGGUGAAAUGCGCAGAUAUCAGGAGGAACACCGAUGGCGAAGGCAGUGAUCUGGGCCAGUACUGACGCUGAGGAGCGAAAGCGUGGGGAGCGAACAGG